AUGGCCACCGGGCAGCACCUGAGCACGGGCUCCGCCCACGAGCCCCACGUUCCCACCACCAGAGCCGUCACCUCGGCAUCCAAGACCACCCCACCCACAUCAACAUGGACCAUCGACGAUCUUGCCGGAAAAGCAGGCCCUUUUGGUAAGACUGGGGCCCCGCUGGCUGGAGCAGGGCAGGGGGAGGCCACCAGCAGCUGCCGGCCACGCCACAGCCGCCGCGCCAUUUCUCUAACCGGGGUUAGGUCGCCAUCGCCACCCCUGGCAACAGAAACACCCAUAGGCACCCCUGCCACUGAGGCCAGCCAAAGACGAGAAGCGCUGAGCCGCCAUGCUCCACCCGUUGGACGGGUCGCCAACCGCAGAACUGAACGCCCCAUGAAUCAGAAGGAGGGGGUCAAACCACCGCCACUGCGCCGCCACCCCGACCAGCCGAGGGGGGCCCGGUCAGGGCAGCCGCUCGCAGCCCUAGCCACCCGCGGCCUGCGCCGCCGUGAGGUUAGAUCUGGAAGAGCCGCCGCCGCCACCGCCGUCCCCAACCUCUGGUCUGCACCAGCACCACCUGCUGCAGCCACGGCAGCGGCGGCCACCUGGAGCAAGAUCUGA
rnacentral:rRNA from 1 species